rnacentral:rRNA from 1 species
GCUAGCGAUAGGCCUAACACAUGCAAGUCGAGGGGCAUCACAUGAAGUAGCAAUACGGAUGGUGGCGACCGGCGCACGAGUGAGUAACACGUAUGCAACCUGCCUUCAACAAGGGGAUAACCCGUUGAAAGACGGACUAAUACCCUAUAACACAGGGGUCCCGCAUGGGAAUAUUUGUUAAAGGACAACCGGUUGAAGAUGGGCAUGCGUUCCAUUAGCUAGUUGGCGGGGUAACGGCCCACCAAGGCAACGAUGGAUAGGGGAACUGAGAGGUUUAUCCCCCACACUGGUACUGAGACACGGACCAGACUCCUACGGGAGGCAGCAGUGAGGAAUAUUGGUCAACGGACGCAAGUCUGAACCAGCCACGUCGCGUGAAGGAAGACGGCCCUACGGGUUGUAAACUUCUUUUAUACGGGAAUAAAGUGCCCCACGCGUGGGGUUUUGCAUGUACCGUAUGAAUAAGGAUCGGCUAACUCCGU